rnacentral:tRNA from 1 species
GCUGGUAUAGCUCAGGGGCAGAGUGUGUGCUUAGCAUGCACAAAGUCCUGGGUUCAAUCCCCAAUACCGUCA